rnacentral:sRNA from 1 species
GUUUCAAUUCCUCAUAGGCAGGCUAUCGGCGGAGAGUCAGCUCAUCCCCUGGGAAGCGGGGAAGCAG